rfam:Coprococcus sp. CAG:782 genomic scaffold, scf225
CGGAGGAAGCACCAAGUGUCGAAGACACAUUUAGAAUGGCGCUGACUAAAUGCUACCCAGUGUAAACGAGGUGGCGUUACACAUA